AUGAACCAUAAGGAGAAGAAGAACAUGCCAAAAGAUAGAUUGAGCAGCAGCAAGAAGGUGAAGCACCAGGGAGAUGCACAUGGCAUGCCGGAAAUGUUGGGUGACCUCGGCCAGCGUUGGCUGUCCUUGCUGGCGACCUCGCCGUCUGCAACCCACCUCCAGGUAAUGCAACUUCUUCCCGCUUGUUCCCUUAUUUUCUGCUCAAUCCACACUUUGGUUUAUGCUUGUUGGGUGUGCAAUGUACUCGAUCUACCUUUUUACCUAUUUUGGUUUAUCUUCGAUACAUAUGCAAAAGGAGAGCUGGUAGAUACAGAUGCAAAAGGAGAGGUGCAGAUUUGGGAACUGGCUUGCUAA
rnacentral:rRNA from 1 species